rnacentral:rRNA from 1 species
GACGAAGGGGGCUAGCGUUGUUCGGAAUUACUGGGCGUAAAGCGUGCGCAGGCGGCUUUGCAAGACAGAUGUGAAAUCCCCGGGCUUAACCUGGGAACUGCAUUUGUGACUGCAUGGCUGGAGUGCGGCAGAGGGGGAUGGAAUUCCGCGUGUAGCAGUGAAAUGCGUAGAUAUGCGGAGGAACACCGAUGGCGAAGGCAAUCCCCUGGGCCUGCACUGACGCUCAUGCACGAAAGCGUGGGGAGCAAACAGG